AAAUAUAUUUAAAUUUAAAAAUAUAAAUAAAUCACAUUAAAGAAAUUUAAAUUUAAUUUCCAAAGCAAUCAAUAUUAUUUAAAAUAAGUAAAUUACAUUAAAGAAAUUUAAAUUUAAGCAUAUAAAUAAAUCACAUUAAAGAAAUUUAAAUUUAAUUUCCAAAGCAAUCAAUAUUAUUUAAAAUAAGUAAAUUACAUUAAAGAAAUUUAAAUUAAAAAAUAUAAAUAAAUCACAUUAAGGAAAUGUAAAUUUCAUUUCAAAAAUAAUCAAUAUUAUUUAAAAUAAAUUACAUUAAAGAAAUUUAAAUUUAAAAAUAAAUAAAUCACAUUAAGGAAAUUUAAAUUUAAUUUCAAAAAUAAUCAAUAUUAUUUAAAAUAAAUUACAUUAAAGAAAUUUAAAUUUAAAAAUAUAAAUAAAUCACAUUAAGGAAAUUUAAAUUAAAUUUUAAAAUAAAUAAUAAAUAUCACUUGAAUGAAUAAAUUAAAGAAACUCACAUUAAAUUUAAAAAAUAAAUUAAAAAUAAAUAAAUUUUCCUUAAAUAAUAAAUAAAAUAAAUAAAUGAUAAAACUCCAGGACAAGUCAGGAGGUGCUGGAAUUAGAAAUCCCCCAAAAGCAGGUGGAGAAAGGGCCAAGCAGUCAUCGCCAGAUAAGGCACUGAAUUCACUGAGAUUUGUGUUUCCUUCCUGUCCUUUGAAUCUAAAUGAGAAACAUACUGAGAGUCAUAAAAACUCCCCGUCCUUCCUUUUCAGUUGCAAUGGAACUCAUUGCCGAAGAGGAGGCAUUCGAGGCCUGUCCCAAACGGAACAUGGCACCAGAGAGGCGUCAUUUUGGUGACUGGACUGGAGGGGAUCCAUCGAUGGCAAAGAAAAAGAGAGCGAUGACUGCAACGGCGAGCGGGACCGGGGGCUGGCCAGGAAAGACUUUCUCCCUGAUGAAGCUAUUGUGGACCUUCCUAAAGUCAUGCAUUGGCCUGGAGAUUAAAAGCUGGAAGAGCCCUUGGAAGCUAUUGAAUCUGUCUCUCGUUUUACAGACAUGGAAACUGAGGCACAGUAGGUUACAUGGUCUCUCCAAAGUCACAAAUCUCUAAAGUGUCAGAGGUUGACACACAUAAAUCAUUCUUCAAACAAGCUGGGACAUCCUUCAGGAAAUGUAAGACCGGAAAAGAGGGUGGCUGAACUACUGUAAUAGCCUCUUUCAAUGGUUUCUCCGCCUCAACUUUCUCUUUUCUUCAGUCUAUCCUCCAUAGAGUUGUCAAAGUAAUAUUCCUGAAUCUCAGGUGCGCUCAGGUCACUCUCCUGCUUCAUAAACUCCAGUAGCUCCCUAUGACACCUCAGAUAAAAUAUAAAUUGUGCUCUUUGGCAUUUAAAGCCUUUUGAAACCUGACUCUGACCUAUCUUCCCUCGCAUGAUUGGCUAGAGUUAGGAGAUUUCAGAACUGAUUUAACUCAAAUGUUCCAUUUAGUAGAAAAGGAAAAAGACCCCAGAGGUUAAAUGACUUUCUGGAGGUCACCAAGGUAGCAAGGGGGUAGCAGUAGGAUUUGAAUUCUCCAAAUCCAUUGCUUUCUUCCUAUCAUGAGGCAGUUUCAUUAUGCAUCACCCCCCUCUAUGCAUUCUUGGUUCUGGUCAAACUAGUCUUGGAAUAUGGAUUCCAUCUCCUACCAUUGGGCCUUUGCAAAGACUGUCUGUUUCCUGUACCUGAAAUGAAUUCCCUCACUUGAGCCUCUUAUAAUAUAUAACUUCCUUUAAAGAAUUACUUGAAAGUCACCUCCUAUGUGAAACUUAAUUUUCUUUUCCUCCAGCUAUUAAUAUUCAGCCUGCCCCAAAUUAUCUUGUAUUCUUUUGAAUAUGCUUCAUAUACUAUUUUCUCUGAUAGAAUGUAGGCUCCUGAAUUCCUGGGCUCACAGAUCAAGAGCCAUAAGCGUCCUUAAAGGAAAUAAAGUCCAGCUUCCUCAUUUUACA
rnacentral:lncRNA from 1 species